rnacentral:rRNA from 1 species
AUUCCAGCUCCAAUAGUGUAUAUUAAAGUUGUUGCAGUUAAAAAGCUCGUAGUUGGAUUUCUGGCGGGAGCGAUCGGUCCUUCACUCAGUGUUGGAACCUGAUUGUCUCCUGCCAUCCAUGGAGAAAACUUAUCUGGCAUUAAGUUGUCGGGUAGGCAAUCUCCAUCUUUUACUGUGAAAAAAUUAGAGUGUUCAAAGCAGGCUUAUGCCGUUGAAUAUAUUAGCAUGGAAUAAUAAGAUAGGACUACGGUACUAUUUUGUUGGUUUGUGCACCAUGGUAAUGAUUAAUAGGGACAGUCAGGGGCACUCGUAUUCCGCCGAGAGAGGUGAAAUUCUCAGACCAGCGGAAGACGAACCACUGCGAAAGCAUUUGCCAGGGAUGUUUUCAUUG